rnacentral:rRNA from 1 species
AUUGAACGCUGGCGGCAUGCCCUACACAUGCAAGUCGAACGGCAGCACGGGUGCUUGCACCUGGUGGCGAGUGGCGAACGGGUGAGUAAUACAUCGGAACGUACCUUAUCGUGGGGGAUAACGCAGCGAAAGCUGUGCUAAUACCGCAUACGCCCUGAGGGGGGAAAGCGGGGGAUCGAAAGACCUCGCGCGAUUAGAGCGGCCGAUGCCUGAUUAGCUUGUUGGGGGGGUAAAAGCCCACCAAGGCGACGAUCAGUAGCUGGUCUGAGAGGACGAUCAGCCACACUGGGACUGAGACACGGCCCAGACUCCUACGGGAGGCAGCAGUGGGGAAUUUUGGACAAUGGGGGCAACCCUGAUCCAGCAAUGCCGCGUGAGUGAAGAAGGCCUUCGGGUUGUAAAGCUCUUUUGUCAGGGAAGAAACACCGGCUCUAACACAGUCCGGGAAUGACGGUACCUGAAGAAUAAGCACCGGCUAACUACGUGCCAGCCGCCGCCGUAA